GACGAACGCUGGCGGCGUGCUUAACACAUGCAAGUCGAACGGUGAAGGGAUCAGCUUGCUGGUUCUGGAUGAGUGGCGAACGGGUGAGUAACACGUGAGUAACCUGCCCCCUUCUUCUGGAUAACCGCAUGAAAGUGUGGCUAAUACGGGAUAUUCUGGGUCUGUCGCAUGAGGGGUCUGGGAACGAUCUUGUUUCGGUGGGGGAUGGGCUCGCGGCCUAUCGGCUUGUUGGUGGGGUGAUGGCCUACCAAGGCGGUGCCGGGUAGCCGGGCUGAGAGGGUGGACGGUUACACUGGAACUGAGACACGGCCCAGACUCCUACGGGAGGCAGCGGUGGGUAAUAUUGCACGAGGGGCGCAAGCCUGAUGCAGCGACGCCGCGUGAGGGAUGGAUGCCUUCGGGUUGUAAACCUCUUGCGCCAGUGAAGCAGGCCUGCUCCUUGUGGGUGGGUUGACGGUAGCUGGAUAAGAAGCGCCGGCUAACUACGUG
rnacentral:rRNA from 1 species